GGCAUUCUAAAGGGAAAUUAUGUAUUAAAAUUUUAUAAAGGACAAAUUCAAUGAAUUAUAAGCAAAACUGAGAGAAGUACAUGUUACACUAGUUAAGAGUUUAACUUUAGUUUCUAAUUUGAGUUUAGCCUAGAUAAUUAAUUUAUUGAUGUCGUACUGAUCCUUGUGUUUGUAUGAUUAUAGAGACCGUACUGGAGUAUUUGUGCCGCCUGAUAUUUGGGACUACACACCAAUCUCUCUGGCUGACCUACCUUUUUUUGCAAUUAAAUCUGUUUGGUCAAAAAAACCAUGCUGGCCGAAGAAACUGAGAUGCUUACUUAUGAGGGCAUAAACUAACUUGGAAAGUCCUGAAGAUGCAGUGCUGUCUAAUGCCGCUAUUUCUGUAUUACCCUUUCAACAAUUGGGGUGUUGCACAGAGUAUUGUGGUGAACAUCCAGCAAACAGAAGAAUUAAGAACUAUGUUGAAGCUGACAUUGUCUUGUUGUCAGCCAUAUUGCUACCCUUAGCUAUGUUAUGGUGUCUAAGAUUAUGGAACAAAGUUUAUGGUGUCUAAGAUUCUUUAUACUCCUUGAAAGACUUAUAAUAUUUUUCUGGACUAUGCUGGACUAUUGAACUAUUUUGUUAUUUUUAUUUUUGUAGAGUUAGCCGGA